rnacentral:tRNA from 1 species
UGAAUAUAGUUUAAAUAAAAUAUUAGAUUGUGAUUCUAAGGACAGGGGUUAAAUCCCCCUUAUUCACCG